AACGAACGCUGGCGGCAGGCCUAACACAUGCAAGUCGAACGCCCUAGCAAUAGGGAGUGGCAGACGGGUGAGUAACGCGUGGGAACAUGCCCUUUGGUUCGGAAUAACUCAGGGAAACUUGAGCUAAUACCGGAUACGCCCUUAGGGGGAAAGAUUUAUUGCCGAAGGAUUGGCCCGCGUCCGAUUAGCGAGUUGGUGAGGUAACGGCUCACCAAGGGGACGAUCGGUAGCUGGUCUGAGAGGAUGAUCAGCCACACUGGGACUGGGACACGGCCCAGACUCCUACGGGAGGCAGCAGUGGGGAAUAUUGGACAAUGGGCGCAAGCCUGAUCCAGCCAUGCCGCGUGAGUGAUGAAGGCCCUAGGGUUGUAAGGCUCUUUCGCUAGGGACGAUAAUGACGGUACCUGGAUAAGAAGCCCCGGCUAACUUCGUGCCAGCAGCCGCCGUAAUAC
rnacentral:rRNA from 1 species